GAUGAACGCUGGCGGCGUGCCUAACACAUGCAAGUCGAACGUUAGAGUUUAGCAAUAGACUCGAAAGUGGCGAACGGGUGAGUAACACGUAGGUGACCUGCCGCGCAGAGGGGGAUAACGACUGGAAACGGUCGCUAAUACCGCAUGGUACUAUCGAGUAGGGAUACUUGAUGGUUAAAACUUUGGUGCUGCGCGAGGGGCCUGCGUCCGAUUAGUUAGUUGGUGAGGUAACGGCUCACCAAGACUAUGAUCGGUAGCUAGUCUGAGAGGAUGAUUAGCCACACGGGAACUGAGACACGGUCCCGACUCCUACGGGGGGCAGCAGUGAGGAAUAUUGCACAAUGGACGAAAGUCUGAUGCAGCAACGCCGCGUGGAGGAUGACGGUCUUUGGAUUGUAAACUCCUUUUCUCAGGGAAGAGAAUGGACGGUACCUGAGGAAUAAGUCACGGCUAACUACGUGCCAGCCGCCGCAGUAACAC
rnacentral:rRNA from 1 species